UGCCCUAGUAACGGCGAGUGAAGCGGCAACAGCUCAAAUUUGAAAUCUGGCCUUCGGGUCCGAGUUGUAAUUUGUAGAGGAUGCUUUUGGUGAGGUGCCUUCCGAGUUCCCUGGAACGGGACGCCAUAGAGGGUGAGAGCCCCGUCUGGUUGGACACCGAUCCUCUGUAAAGCUCCUUCAACGAGUCGAGUAGUUUGGGAAUGCUGCUCUAAAUGGGAGGUAUAUGUCUUCUAAAGCUAAAUAUUGGCCAGAGACCGAUAGCGCACAAGUAGAGUGAUCGAAAGAUGAAAAGCACUUUGAAAAGAGAGUUAAAAAGUACGUGAAAUUGUUGAAAGGGAAGCGCUCAUGACCAGACUUGGGCUUGGUUGAUCAUCCAGGGUUCUCCCUGGUGCACUCUUCCAGUUCAGGCCAGCAUCAGUUCGCUGCGGGGGAUAAAGGCUUUGGGAAUGUGGCUCCUUCGGGAGUGUUAUAGCCCAUUGUGUAAUACCCUGUGGUGGACUGAGGACCGCGCUUUUGCAAGGAUGCUGGCGUAAUGGUCAUCAGUGACCCGUCUUGAAACACGGACCAAGGAGUCGUCUUCGUAUGCGAGUGUUCGGGUGUUAAACCCCUACGCGUAAUGAAAGUGAACGCAGGUGAGAGCUUCGGCGCAUCAUCGACCGAUCCUGAUGUUCUCGGAUGGAUUUGAGUAAGAGCAUACGGGGCCGGACCCGAAAGAAGGUGAACUAUGCCUGUAUAGGGUGAAGCCAGAGGAAACUCUGGUGGAGGCUCGCAGCGGUUCUGACGUGCAAAUCGAUCGUCAAAUAUGGGCAUGGGGGCGAAAGACU
rnacentral:rRNA from 1 species